CAGGCCUAACACAUGCAAGUCGAACGCGAAAGGGACUUCGGUCCUUAGUAGAGUGGCGCACGGGUGAGUAACGCGUGGGAACGUACCCUGGAGUGGGGAAUAACCAUUGGAAACGAUGGUUAAUACCGCAUAAUGUCUUCGGACCAAAGAUUUAUCGCUCCUGGAUCGGCCCGCGUUAGAUUAGUUUGUUGGUGGGGUAAUGGCCUACCAAGACUACGAUCUAUAGCUGGUUUGAGAGGACGACCAGCCACACUGGGACUGAGACACGGCCCAGACUCCUACGGGAGACAGCAGUGGGGAAUAUUGGACAAUGGGCGCAAGCCUGAUCCAGCCAUGCCGCGUGAGUGAUGAAGGCCUUAGGGUUGUAAAGCUCUUUCAACGGUGAAGAUGAUGACGGUAACCGUAGAAGAAGCCCCGGCUAACUUCGUGCCAGCCGCCGCCGUAA
rnacentral:rRNA from 1 species